rnacentral:rRNA from 1 species
CGUGUAGGCGGUCAGGUAAGUGGAAUGUGAAAUGCCCCCGGCUCACCCGGGGACCGGGCAUCCCAAACUGCCUGGCUUGAGUAUGGGAGAGGAUGGAGGAAUUCCUGGUGUAGCGGUGAAAUGCGUAGAUAUCAGGAGGAACACCGGUGGCGAAGGCGUCCAUCUGGCCCAAUACUGACGCUGAGGCGCGAAAGCUAGGGGAGCAAACG